rnacentral:rRNA from 1 species
CCUACGGGAGGCAGCAGUGGGGGAUAUUGCACAAUGGGGGAAACCCUGAUGCAGCGACGCCGCGUGAGUGAAGAAGUAUUUCGGUAUGUAAAGCUCUAUCAGCAGGGAAGAAAAUGACAGUACCUGACUAAGAAGCCCCUGCUAACUACGUGCCAGCAGCCGCGGUAAUACGUAGGGGGCAAGCGUUAUCCGGAUUUACUGGGUGUAAAGGGAGCGUAGACGGCGAGACAAGUCUGGAGUGAAAGCCCGGGGCCCAACCGCGGGGGUGCACUGGAAACUGCGAGGCUGGAGUGCAGAAGAGGAGAGUGGAAUUCCAAGUGUAGCGGUGAAAUGCGUAGAUAUAAGGAGGAACACCAGUGGCGAAGGCGGCUUUCUGGUCUGUAACUGACGUUGAGGCUCGAAAGCGUGGUGAGCAAACAGGAUUAGAUACCCUGGUAGUC